rnacentral:rRNA from 1 species
AUUGAACGCUGGCGGCAGGCCUAACACAUGCAAGUCGAACGAGUGGCGGACGGGAGAGCAAUGUCUGGGAAACUGCCUGAUGGAGGGGGUAAAGGACCGGAAACGGUAGCUAAUACCGCAUAACAUCAGAUGUGCCCAGUUGGGAUUAGGUAGUUGGUGGGGUAACGGCUCACGAAGGCGAGGAUCCCUAGCUGGUAUGAGAGGAUGACCAGCCACACUGGAACUGAGACACGGUCCAGACUCCUACGGGAGGCAGCAGUGGGGAAUAUUGCACAAUGGGCGCAAGCCUGAUGCAGCCAUGCCGCGUGUGUGAAGAAGGCCUUCGGAUUGUAAAGUACUUUCAGCGGGGAGGCGUUACCCGCAGAAGAAGCACCGGCUAACUCCGUGCCAGCCGCCGCGGUAAUUC